ACCAAAACAGAAAGAGAAAUUAUUUAGUUUGUUUCACUCAACGGCAAAGUAAGGUUAGAAAACAUCAAAGAAGCUGUAAAUAUCCUGGGAACAUCCUUAAUGUAACAGUUCAGGGUUGCUGAAAGGUGUAAAGGAUCGUAAGAUAAAACUCUAAUGUCAAAGACAGAGAUUUUUCUAUCUGAUUGAAGCUGCUGGAGAUCUGCAAACAUCUGAGAUGAUCUACCAGGUUGUGGUUGGAGGAAUAGAUGGAGUUAAGAUCACGAUUGACCUCUGUGACAAUGAGAAGGAGAUGCAGAGAAUCACGGUUGCAGAGCUGAAGGACAAGAUAUUGGAAAAAUUCCUUGGAAUCACUGAGUGUCCAGAAUUGAUGUUUGGGAAUAUGACAUUGAAUGACGACAGAAAGAAGCUGGUUGAUUAUGGAAUCGUGCACAAGUCCAAGAUAAACAUGGUUUUAAACACAGUUGAAGCAGGAGAGCCUGAACUGGACUUUACUGCCGAUGGGAUGGGAGAUAAAAAGGGCGAAACUCGGAAAAGUAAAGAGAGUUCGCUUAAUCUUUAAAACUCAAAAUACAUUUUUGGGUCCAAAGUGCUUCGUUCCACACAUUGAAAUAUUUCAAGCAUUAACUAGAAUCACCUCCCUCCUCAUUCUCAUUUAAACUCUUUUAAGUAACCAAAAUAUUUCUCACUUCCUGCCACAUUGUCUGUGUUCAGUAUUUUAUCUAAAGAUCAGCAGAAAUAUUCUUUGUUUCUGAUUAUUUUCAGUGAGUCAAACAGAGAAAACAUUUGUGGAGCAACUUUAACAAGCUUGUGUUUUGUAUUAAUAAACUAAAUGUGGGAUUUUAAAACUAAUCUUUCUUCUUUAUACAGUUAAAACAAUGAAGAUUUUCUGAAACACAGUGUGAGAAAAUGUGUAGUAAACCUCAAGAGGAAACUCAAAAUGUUUCAAAUUCUGACCAAAUUCUAGAUUAAGAGCAGAAUCAAAGCGUUGAGAUUAGAAUGAGCUACAGGAUAUUAUUUUAACUCCUGAGUAUCAUAAAGCUGAGAUACAAUAACAUCAAUACUUGCUGGCUCAUAAAAAUAAGGCUUAUUUUCUCAAAAGAUAACUAACUUUUUAAGACCAAAUCCAUAAUCUGCAGAAAUGAUGGAAAAAGAUGAUGUAAAACAUUUUAAUUCUUAAAAUAACAAAGCAGUGAGGCUGCUGUCAUUUCCCCAUUUCAAUUUAAUUGGGGGAUAUUUGAUUAGAUACUUGAUUACAUAAUAAUCAUUAUGUAAUAAUCAGAAUUUCUCAUGACAUUGAAAUAUGUAAUGUUUCAGUUGUUGAUUUUUGUGUUUUUAUGCACUUUGAAAUGCCUUGUUGCUGAAAUGCAGGAUACAAAUAAAAUUUGAUGUGAUUUGAUAAAUUCUCUCCGUUGAAUUGUGAAUGAAUCUAAUUUUUAAUCUGACUUUCAUGUGUAAACAGGCUGCAGAUGUCUCACUGUUCCUUCCACUUUUACAGCAAUAUGUUAGAAUAAACCAGCAGCCUGUGGUUUGAUGAAGGAAAUAAUAUGAAAACAGAAAGUUUUGGAUUAUUGGAGGUUUUAGGAAAGAUUGAAGCAAUAAUACAAAUCAGUAAAUCAAACCUUGUUUUGGAAUAAAGGCGUCAUUAUUAGUUUGUGCAAUAAACCUGCUGCUGAAAUGACA